UGUACUGGGGGACAGGGAGAAGGCCUCUUGUUCUUGGCUUCACCCAAUAGCUUGAUACCUGCAUUUACAAAUCAACCUCAAAUUGUGAUACUGUGCUGAUAAGGACAGAGCUCUUGAGUUUAGGAUCCUUCUUACUUAAAUUGAAUUAUUGUAACUUCAAAAGUAAUUAGGUUCCCUUGACUAGUAGAUAUUUCUUGUGCUUGCAACAAGCCAUAAUGUGGCAGGCAUCUCUUGGUAUACAGAUUUUUUUUUCUAUUUACUUAUGAAAAUGACUGCUACUGGGCUGAAAAUUUUUAUUUUAGAAUUCACUGUCAUAAGAGGGAAGAUUUGGCAUCUCAUGGUCAGGUAUUCCCCCUUAGGGCCACUGCUAUAGCUUGUCUUGUAACAUAAAUCUACUUACACUGAAGUAACUGAUUCCCUGUGAGUAGGGUCUUAGGUUUGCCAUGACUAUCAGCAGAAAACUUCUAGGUCAUAUAGUAGUUAUUCCCAGUGAGCCUUUCCUCCUUCCUUCCUUCCUUCCUUCCUUCCUUCCUUCCUUCCUUCCUUCCUUCCUUCCUUCCUUCCUUCCUCCUUUUUCUCCUUAACAUGACAUCUUGGAAAUAACUCAAUGCCUCACACAUGCAUAAUUUCACUGAGUAACUUCCUGGGCCCAAAAUUUUCAUGUAGGGAGAAGGGGAGAGAGAUAACACAGCACUGCUCCACCAAUCAUGGAGCAUACCUCUACCCCCUGCUCCCCUUGUGCUGUCCAUGAUGCUCCCAUAUGUUAUUGGUGCUUGAGCCCAGGGUCUUGAGUAUGGUAUGGUUCUUGAGUAUGGUAUGGUGGUAGUUUUAGCAAGUGAGCUAGCUUUUAGGCCUUCCCCUCCACCCCAAGUAACUCUUUACUCUCUUUUUAGUCACAGGUAUUCCUAGAAAUCCUUCCUCAUUGAAUAAGACUCAAACCUCUGGGAGUGGCUUACAGAAACAUUACACAGACUCUGAUGUCAGUCAUAAUGUUUAAGCCUCAGCCCUUUUCCUGUAUCAGCCCUGAUGGAUAAUGGGGCGUGGGCUAUGCUUCUUAUCAGGGUGUGGUUCCCUAUGAACUAAAUACUCCCAGCCACUGAGCUGUGAGAAAGUCACUUGGAAGUGCAAACUUUAUCUUAGUUUUUGUUGGACCAUACUGAGCCUUCAGCUCCACAGGAUUAUGGUACAGUUCUGCCAUCUUUACUCAGGAAAGGGUCAGGCAACCCUAGAGUGACACUACUUCCUGCUGACAGUGGCACUACCUCACAUGGUCUGAAAGAAUGGUCUCUGACAGCUUUACCUUCAUCCCCUUCAAAUAACCACCUGCAGUAAUCUAAAAUGACACAUGAAAAUUUAGUCUUCUUUUUUUAGGAAACUGCUGACCUCCUUCCCAUAUCUUAGAAAAACUGUAAGACCCUUUUAGGAUGAGACUUACUAUGUCACACAUGAACCUAAUGUGGUGGUGGUGGUGGGGGGGGGGGUGGUAGAGCUUACUAGUUAAAAAUAAAUGUUCAUUUCCAACCAAAAUCUGGUUUCACUGAGGAGUGCAGGCAACUUUGGCCUCUACACCAAAGCUUAUGACAUUAAAGUUUAACAUG